GGAUUCAAUCCUCCUUGGGAACGUGGUGAAUAACAUUCUGCAUGGAAUCAGUAAUGCAACAGGAGGAUGUUGUUUCAAACCAGAAACAAGCAGAGAUGGGGUCAAGCUUUUUGAGAUUGAAACUGUUCUUUCUUUGGAGAUGAGGAAACCAAAAAGCAAAGCUGACCCAUCAAGCAUCACUGAGAGUCUUUUGACAAGCUACUUUGCUACUCAUGGAUAUGAUGCCUUUCCAGAGGCUGUCUUGCCGAGUCAGAUGCAGAGCAAAGUGACUGUGACACAAAAGUAAGUAAU